rnacentral:tRNA from 1 species
GGAAAAAUAGUUUAAGAAGAAUAUAUUCUUGUCAGGUAUAAGGUACUAAUUUUUUUAGUUUUUUCCU